GACAGAGGGUGCAAACGUUGCUCGGAAUUACUGGGCGUAAAGCGCGUGUAGGCGGACUGGUGUGUCGGAUGUGAAAUCCCCAGGCUCAACCUGGGAACUGCAUUCGAAACUGCCAGCCUUGAGUGGUGGAGGGGGAAGUGGAAUUCCUGGUGUAGAGGUGAAAUUCGUAGAUAUCAGGAGGAACACCAGUGGCGAAGGCGGCUUCCUGGACACCAACUGACGCUGAGACGCGAAAGCGUGGGGAGCAAACAGG
rnacentral:rRNA from 1 species